CAGCCGUAAACAAUGUGCGUUAGGUGUGUCGGUAACCACGUGUUACUGAUGCGCCGAAGAGAAAUCGUGAAACGCACCACCUGGGAAGUACGGUCGCAAGGCUGAAACUUAAAGGAAUUGGCGGGGGAGCACCACAACAGGUGGAGCCUGCGGUUUAAUUGGAUUCAACGCCGGACAUCUCACCGGAUAAGACAGCUGAACGAUUGUCAAUCUGAAGGUUUUACAUGACUAGCUGAGAGGAGGUGCAUGGCGUCAGUGACU
rnacentral:rRNA from 1 species